rnacentral:rRNA from 1 species
GUCUAUGGCUAUACCACCCUGAACACAACCCGAUCUCAUCUGAUCUCAGAAGCCAAGCAGAGUUGGGCCUGGUUAGUACUUGGAUGGAAGGUAAAUCCCAGAAAAGGCCCCGAUAUGCC